rnacentral:rRNA from 1 species
AUUGAACGCUGGCGGCAUGCUUUACACAUGCAAGUCGAACGGUAACAGGGUGCUUGCACCGCUGACGAGUGGCGAACGGGUGAGUAAUGCGUCGGAACGUGCCGAGUAGUGGGGGAUAACGCAGCGAAAGUUGUGCUAAUACCGCAUACGUACUGAGGUAGAAAGUGGGGGACCUUCGGGCCUCACGCUAUUCGAGCGGCCGACGUCUGAUUAGCUAGUAGGUGAGGUAAAGGCUCACCUAGGCGACGGUCAGUAGCGGGUCUGAGAGGAUGAUCCGCCACACUGGGACUGAGACACGGCCCAGACUCCUACGGGAGGCAGCAGUAGGGAAUUUUGGACAAUGGGCGAAAGCCUGAUCCAGCCAUGCCGCGUGUCUGAAGAAGGCCUUCGGGUUGUAAAGGACUUUUGUCAGGGAGGAAAUCCCUAGUGCUAAUAACACUGGGGGAUGACAGUACCUGGAGAAUAAGCACCGGCUAACUACGUGCCAGCCGCCGCCGUAA